AGUGAACGCUGGCGGUAGGCCUAACACAUGCAAGUCGAACGGCAGCACAGUAAGAGCUUGCUCUUACGGGUGGCGAGUGGCGGACGGGUGAGGAAUACAUCGGAAUCUACUUUUUCGUGGGGGAUAACGUAGGGAAACUUACGCUAAUACCGCAUACGACCUACGGGUGAAAGCAGGGGAUCUUCGGACCUUGCGCGAUUGAAUGAGCCGAUGUCGGAUUAGCUAGUUGGCGGGGUAAAGGCCCACCAAGGCGACGAUCCGUAGCUGGUCUGAGAGGAUGAUCAGCCACACUGGAACUGAGACACGGUCCAGACUCCUACGGGAGGCAGCAGUGAGGAAUAUUGGACAAUGGGCGCAAGCCUGAUCCAGCCAUACCGCGUGGGUGAAGAAGGCCUUCGGGUUGUAAAGCCCUUUUGUUGGGAAAGAAAAGCAGCAGGUUAAUACCCCGCUGUUCUGACGGUACCCAAAGAAUAAGCACCGGCUAAAUUCGUG
rnacentral:rRNA from 1 species